GCCGAGAUGAGGUAGCCUGGUAGCCUAUAGGCCUGUGGAGCCUAUCGCCUGGGUUCGAAUCCCAGUCUCGGCC
rnacentral:tRNA from 2 species